UACGAAGGGUGCAAGCGUUAAUCGGAAUUACUGGGCGUAAAGGGUGCGUAGGCGGUUCGUUAAGUCUGUUGUGAAAUCCCCGGGCUCAACCUGGGAAUGGCAAUGGAUACUGGCGGGCUAGAGUGUGUCAGAGGAUGGUGGAAUUCCCGGUGUAGCGGUGAAAUGCGUAGAGAUCGGGAGGAACAUCAGUGGCGAAGGCGGCCAUCUGGGACAACACUGACGCUGAAGCACGAAAGCGUGGGGAGCAAACAGA
rnacentral:rRNA from 1 species